AUUGAACGCUGGCGGCAGGCCUAACACAUGCAAGUCGAACGAGUGGCGGACGGGUGAGUAAUGUCUGGGAAACUGCCCGAUGGAGGGGGAUAACUACUGGAAACGGUAGCUAAUACCGCAUACCAUCGGAUGUGCCCAGAUGGGAUUAGCUUGUAGGUGGGGUAACGGCUCACCUAGGCGACGAUCCCUAGCUGGUCUGAGAGGAUGACCAGCCACACUGGAAGUGGGAUACUGUCCAGACGCCUAGGGGAGGAAGGAGUGGGGAAUAUUGCACAAGGGGCGCAAGCCUGAUGCAGACAUGCCGCGGGUAUGAAGAAGGCCGUCGGGUUGUAAAGUACUUUCAGCGGGGAGGCGUUACCCGCAGAAGAAGCACCGGCUAACUCCGUGCCAGCAGCCGCGGUAAUAC
rnacentral:rRNA from 1 species